GAUGAACGCUGGCGGCGUGCCUAAUACAUGCCAGUCGAGCGAACGGACGAGAAGCUUGCUUCUCUGAUGUUAGCGGCGGACGGGUGAGUAACACGUGGAUAACCUACCUAUAAGACUGGGAUACUUCGGGAAACCGGAGCUAAUACCGGAUGAUAUUUUGAACCGCAUGGUUCAAAAGUGAAAGACGGUCUUGCUGUCACUUAUAGAUGGAUCCGCGCUGCAUUAGCUAGUUGGUAAGGUAACGGCUUACCAAGGCAACGAUGCAUAGCCGACCUGAGAGGGUGAUCGGCCACACUGGAACUGAGGCACGGUCCAGACUCCUACGGGAGGCAGCAGUAGGGAAUCUUCCGCAAUGGGCGAAAGCCUGACGGAGCAACGCCGCGUGAGUGAUGAAGGUCUUCGGAUCGUAAAACUCUGUUAUUAGGGAAGAACAUAUGUGUAAGUAACUGUGCACAUCUUGACGGUACCUAAUCAGAAAGCCACGGCUAACUAUGUG
rnacentral:rRNA from 1 species